AAAAAUUUAGUUAAAUUAAUAACAUUAGUUUGUCAAGCUAAAAUCAUUAGAAGUUCUAAUAAUUUUUA
rnacentral:tRNA from 1 species